GCACCGUUCCUCUAAAGGUCAGGAGAUCGGGUCUUCACCCCGACAAUAGGAGUUCGAGUCUCCUACGGUGUACCA
rnacentral:tRNA from 1 species